AAGUGCCUGAUAUUCAGGAGAUUUAAAAGGGAAUCCGGUGAGAAUCCGGGACAGUACCCGCUGCUGUGAAUCCUAUACCAAAGUCUUUUGCACUACGUCAUUAAGACCAUUUAGUCUUGAGAAGGCGCAUUAGAUUGGGAUAAGUCAGAAGACCUGCCUUUGCCGUA
rnacentral:ncRNA from 1 species